UAAACUCAUUAACCCUUAGCUUGGCAGA
rnacentral:sRNA from 1 species